rnacentral:piRNA from 1 species
UAGAUAGUCCACCUUAUCACCUGC